UAGCGGAUUGUUGAAGAGUGUGGUCAUCCGAUCGUGAUUUGCGGUCAUGUUGCGUUCUUCAGACUCCCAUCCCACUUUUUACUCAGAUAAUUCUGGCUGGCAGAGGCCAGGCAAUAGCUAAUUAGUUAGCUACUAUUCGACGACAGCAUUAAACAGGUCAGUCUGGCCUGUAGUGAAUCCUACAUUUCAUACUUACUCAGAACAACGCGGCGUGCAAACAGAUGCUCUAGAGAUCGCACACAUUUGCGCGUCUUGAGUGCAGUUUGUAUUGCAUCUAGGUAGUUUCUCUUAGCUCCGCGCUACAGAAAGUGCAGCAGCGGGAGACACCUGGAUUCAGCUGCAGAAAGCCAGGCGCGCGAGCACAGACAAGCAAGCUAUCUGUGUUAACAAAUAUAGUGUAGCUUUAAAAAAAAGAGUAAAACGCGCCCAGAUCGUCUGCAGAAUGGCAAGACCUUCGAGGAAUAAAAGGGUUGUUGACUAUGCACAAUUCCAAGAGUCUGACGAUGCUGAUGAGGAAUAUGUAAAAGAAUCAGAACGAUCUGAGAAAAAGGCUGUAAAACGCAGUGAUGAUUCUCGACCCAAGGACCGCAAGAAGGAUCUCAGUGAUGAUGACAAUGACUUUGGAGAGGAUGAGGAAGAUGAUGAUGAUGGUGGUGACAGUGACUUUGAUGCCAAAAAGGCCAGCAGGGGGAGGCAGGCGCCAACUAAACGGAAAAGGGCUGCAGAUGACAGUGAUGAUGAUGGUAAAGUUGUAAAGAAGAAGGGCCGGCAGGUGCGUCAGGCUGCCACUAAAGCUGCAUCCAAACAAAGGGAGAUCCUUCUUGGGGAUGGUGGAAGUGAGGAAGAGGGGGGUGUGGAAGAGGAGGAAGAAGAAGAAGACAGUGACGUUUACACCGGGGAAGACUCGGGUAGUGAUGAAGACUUUAUGGUAGAGGAUGAUGAUGAUGACAGUGAUUAUGGGCGACCCAAACGGAGGAACUCAAAAGUGAGCAGGAGAAGCAAAGACAAGAAAUUGCCUAAACCACGGAUAAAGGCUUCAGACCUGUGUGACUUUCUUCCAUGGAACACAACAGAAGAAAGAAAUUCAAGUUUGGAACAACAUGAGGUGUUUCUCAGCUGGUGGGUCGCAACCCACAGGUCUGUACGGAUAGGGUCGCUGACACCAGGGAAAGAAUAGUGCCUGGGAUCUUCCUCCAUUGCAGAUUUUCCAGCAGCCACCAAUGCCAAAUUUAGGGUCACGGAGGCAAACUUAAAACUGAAUAUCUCCGGAGCGAGUGUGCUUAUCAACUGGGCUUCCAUCUCACGGCGCAGACCACAACUGAUGAGACCCAUUUGAAAUUCUAGUUUAAAUCGCUAUGGAGGAAGUCAAACCUCUCAAACAGUAGAUGGCCCCGUCACCCGACAUGCUAAACAGACCUGACAUGCUAAACAGAACUGAGGAAAAGAGCGACACUGUGCAAUGGGCUAAAAUAAAAGUUUUUCAAAUUACACAUCUUCACACUUACUAAAAUGUAUCACUAUUUUAGUAAUAACAGUAACUGAUAUUUUGACAAAAAUGUUAUAGUUAAAUAUUAAAUAAUCUAUUAGACCAGUAGUUUUCAAACUGUGGUCCGGGGAUCCCCACAGGGGGUCACAAUAGAGUGCUAGAGGGUCCACACAUUUUUAUAUAUAUGUAAAAUAUGGUCUUACCUGUGUUUAUAUGGCAUUGCACUGUAAAUAAACUCAGUCCCUUUUUCAGGACACUGUAUUUUAAAGAUCAUUUUGUAAAAAUCAAUAACUUUACAGAUCUUUACUGUAAAGGUUUUAAACAAUGUUUUCCAUGCUUGUUCAAUGAACCUUAAACAAUUAAUGAACAUGCACCUGUGGAACGGUCGUUAAGACACUAACAGCUUACAGACGGUAGGCAAUUAAUGUCACAGUUAUAAAAACUUAGGACACUAAAGAGACCUUUCUACUGACUCUGGAAAAACACCAAAAGAAAGAUGCCCAGGGUCCCUGCUCAUCUGCGUGAACGUGCCUUAGGCAUGCUGCAUGGAGGCAUGAGGACUGCAGAUGUGGCCAGGGCAAUAAAUUGUAAUGUCCGUACUGUGAGACGUCUAAGACAGCGCUACAGGGAGACAGGAAGGACAGUUGAUCGUCCUAGCAGUGGCAGACCACGUGUAACAACACCUGCACAUGAUCGGUACAUCCAAAUACCACACCUGCGGGACAGGAACAGGAUGGCAACAACAACUUCCUGAGUUGCACCAGGAAUGCACAAUCCCUCCAUCAGAAUCCGUUUUUCAAAUUACAUAUCUUCACCCUUACUAAAAUGUAUCAGUAUUUUACAGUAGUAUCAGUAACGGAUAUUUUGACAAAAAUGUUAUAGUUAAUCUAUUAAACCAGUGGUUUUCAAACUGCUGUCCGGGGAUCCCCCCAGGGGGUCACAAUGGGGCGCUAGAGGGUCCACGAUUUUUUUUUUAUAUAGUGUAAAAUAUGUAAAAAUAAAGAGAAAAGUAGGUAACAUUUACCUAAUUUGAUAUUAUUAUUGUUUAAUUCUGCUUUCUGAAGAUUAAUCAUUGAUCUAGAUCAUGAGAUUAAUUGCAAUUGUUCUAUUAACAGCCUAAUUCUUUACAGUAAGAAAUUACAACAUAGCUGCAUAUAGUUUUGUGAAAAAUACAUAUUACAUUACUCUAUUGAAAUUACACCUUGUUAACUAAAUACAAACCUAACAUUUUCCAGAUAAUAUUUUAAUUUAUUUUGACUUCAGUAAAAUCAUAAUUUAAAAAACUGCAAUUAUUUAAUAUUGGGUUAAUAUAAUAGCAUGUUGUCUUUAAAAUCAUGCUCACGAUUUUUCUCACACAUAAUUAUUAUUUAUACAUAAUUACAAAUAGUAUAUAUAGCUGCCUUUAAUUUCAAGAAAGGUCCCCUUAUAAUGAGAUCAUAAUAUUUGUGGUCCUCGGCAAUAAAUAGUUGUUAGAACUGUUUUUUUUUACAAUUGUGGCAGUUGUAGUUAAAGACCCCAUUUACACCUGGUAUUAAGAUGCAUCUCGAGUGAUCUGAUCACAUGUGAUCACUUGCGGUGAGACACAUCCCUGUUUACACCUGGUCACUCAAAUCCGUUUCCUGUGUCUUUUGUGUUUGGAAUUCGAGGGAAGAGACUGAUUUAAUGAAGACAUCCUUCACUAUGUCAGUUUGUUACUGCAUAAUGAUAAAAUGUAGAAAUGUCAUAAAAGACGAAGAAAGGGAGGGGGACAGAUUAGCAUUUACACCUCAAAUGUGGUGCGUUCACAUACGUUUUGACUACAUUCAUAUGGGGUUUGUGAUCCGAUCACAAAACAUUUUAGACCCUGUUAGACCUGUAUUUAGCGCUGACCACAUGUGAUUGGAUCACCCGAGAUGCAUCUUAAUACUUGGUGUAUACAGGGUCAAAUUUUCUAAAUGAGAUUAGUCUACUAUUUUUUCAUAACAAAUACUAUAAUUUAUUAUUGUUGUUAUUAUUAUUUUUAGAAAGACUAGCUACUGUACAUUGACUAAACCACAGUAACGAUGAGCCAUCCAUGGUCUUACCUGUGUUUAUAUGGCAUUGCACUGUAAAUAAACUCAGCAAAAAAAGAAAUGUCCCUUUUUCAGGACACUGUAUUUUAAAGAUAAUUUUGUAAAAAUCCAAAUAAUUUUACAGAUCUUUACUGUAAAGGUUUUAAACAAUGUUUUCCAUGCUUGUUCAAUGAACCUUAAACAAUUAAUGAACAUGCACCUGUGGAACGGUCGUUAAGACACUAACAGCUUAUAGACGGUAGGCAAUUAAGGUCACAGUUAUAAAAACUUAGGACACUGAAGAGACCUUUCUACUGACCCUGAAAAACACCAAAAGAAAGAUGCCCAGGGUCCCUGCUCAUCUGCGUGAACAUGCCUUAGGCAUGCUGCAUGGAGGCAUGAGGACUGCAGAUGUGGCCAGGGCAAUAAAUUGUAAUGUCCGUGCUGUGAGACGCCUAAGACAGCGCUACAGGGAGACAGGAAGGACAGUUGAUCGUCCUUACAGUGGCAGACCAUGUGUAACAACACCUGCACAGGAUCGGUACAUCCGAAUAUCACACCUGCGGGACAGUUCAGGAUGGCAACAACAACUGCUCGAGUUACACCAGGAACGCACAAUCCCUCCAUCAGUGCUCAGACUGUCUGCAAUAGGCUGAGAGAGGCUGGACUGAGGGCUUGUAGGCCUGUUGUUAGGCAGGUCCUUACCAGACAUCACCGGCAACAAUGUCGCCUGUGGGCACAAACCCACCUUCGCUGGACCAGACAGGACUGGCAAAAAGUACUCUUCACUGACGAGUCGCGGUUUUGUCUCACCAGGGUGAUGGUCGGACUUGCGUUUAUCGUCGAAGGAGUGUUACACCGAGGCCUGUACUCUGGAGUGAGAUCGAUUUGGAAGUGGAGGGUCCGUCAUGGUCUGGGGCGGUGUGUCACAGCAUCAUCGGACUGAGCUUGUUGUCAUUGCAGGCAAUCGCAACGCUGUGCGUUACAGGGAAGACAUCCUCCUCCCUCAUGUGGUACCUUUCCUGCAGGCUUAUCCUGACAUGACCCUUCAGCAUGACAAUGCCAACAGCCAUACUGCUCGUUCUGUGUGUGAUUUCCUGCAAGACAGGAAUGUCAGUGUUCUGCCAUGGCCAGUGAAGAGCCCGGAUCUCAAUCCCAUUGAGCACGUCUGGGACCUGUUGGAUCGGAGGGUGAGGGCUAGGGCCAUUCCCCCCAGAAAUGUCUGGGAAAUUGCAAAUGACUUGGUGGAAGAGUAGGGUAAUAUCUGACAGCAAGAACUGGCAAAUCUGGUGCAGUCCAUGAGGAGGAGAUGCACUGCAGUACUUAAUGCAGCUGGUGGCCACACCAAAUACUGACUGUUACUUUUGAUUUUGACCCCCCCUUUGUUCAGGGACACAUUAUUCCAUUUCUGUUAGUCACAUGUCUGUGAAACUUGUUCAGUUUGUGUCUUAGUUGUUGAAUCUUUUUAUGUUCAUACAAAUAUUUACACAUGUUAAGUUUGCUGAAAAUAAAAGCAGUUGAAAGCGAGAGGACGUUUCUUUUUUGCUGCGUUUAUAAGGUCAAGUACAUAAAGGGCUUUACAGACUGGAUCUCCAACACUUAUGGUCAAAUUAUGGACAAAGUUUACCUCUUGUGUAAUAUAUGUUCUAUUUGAAUGAUGUUUGAUAUUGGGAAAUAACCUGGAUAAAUAAACUGUUUCAAAUUGCGACUGUGGGGCACAAGAUUCACAGCAAUGUGGCAUUAACGAUAGACAGCAGAAAAUAAAGUCCUCUGGAUUCCCACAUAGAGUUUUACCUGUGAUAAUGAUCAUAAUUUAGAAAUAUUUAUCGGAAGUGGGGUGUUGCAAUCUGCUACAAACUUAAAUCAUCAUGAAAUCUAAUUUUCGUAGCAAGAAGUGUUUAUGUAUCUGUCACUGUAUGUGUUACUUUCAUCAAGUCUGACAGACAUCUUUUUCAUUACAUUAUUUUAUGUUGCUUCAUAAAAGCAUAGAUUGCAAACGAUUGUGUUGAAAAAUGGGUUCAGAGUGCAUUUCAAUAUGUUUUUUUUUUUUUUUUUUUUUUGCUGAGUUCAGACAACUACAUUUGCUUUGUAAAUCAAAAGUGAAGCACUCCCACAAAGCUGACAUCUCUUGUCAUUGUUUUUGGAACCUUGUCCAUGGACUGGGUCAUUUCCGCCUUGUUUUCGACUUGGUUCACGACUGUGACAUAAACCAAAGAUUAUCAACUAAUCAAAACAAAAGAGAAGAGCUCUUCGACAUGCCCUGCCCCAGCUUUCUGUUUCUAUAGGAAAAACAUCAACACAAAGAAAACUGCUCUUUAAUCUAUUUAUGGGGGUUUUAAAACAUAGAUAGUUUUACUAUAAUAGCUAGAUAAUUAAGUAAUUACAACUCUCAUGAACUGUCUGCUUUCCGAAAGCUGAGAAACCCUCAACUGUCCCAUUAAUUGUUUUACUCAAUUGU